rnacentral:rRNA from 1 species
AUUGAACGCUGGCGGCAGGCCUAACACAUGCAAGUCGAGCGGAGCGGCGGACGGGUGAGUAAUGCCAAGGAAUCGGCAUGGUAGUGGGGGAUAGCGUCAGGAAACGGGCGCUAAUACCGCAUCCUAUCAGAUAAGCCUAGGUCGGAUUAGCUCGGUGGUGGGGGAAAGGCCAACCAAGGCGACGAUCCGUAACUGGUCUGAGAGGAUGAUCAGUCAACCUGGAACUGAGACACGGCCCAGACUCCUACGGGAGGCAGCAGUGGGGAAUAUUGGACAAUGGGCGAAAGCCUGAUCCAGCCAUGCCGCGUGUGUGAAGAAGGUCUUCGGAUUGUAAAGCACUUUAAGUUGGGAGGCGUUACCAACAGAAUAAGCACCGGCUAACUUCGUGCCAGCAGCCGCGGUAAUAC